rnacentral:rRNA from 1 species
GAUGAACGCUGGCGGCGUACCUAAUACAUGCAAGUCGAGCGAACGGACGAGAAGUUUGCUUUUCUGAUGUUAGCGGCGGACGGGUGAGUAACACGUGGAUAACCUACCUAUAAGACUGGGAUAACUUCGGGAAACCGGAGCUAAUACCGGAUAAUAUUUUGAACCGCAUGGUUCAAAAGUGAAAGACGGUCUUGCUGUCACUUAUAGAUGUAUCCGCGCUGCAUUAGCUAGUUGGUAAGGUAACGGCUUACCAAGGCAUCGAUGCAUAGCCGACCUGAGAGGGUGAUCGGCCACACUGGAACUGAGACACGGUCCAGACUCCUACGGGAGGCAGCAGUAGGGAAUCUUCCGCAAUGGGCGAAAGCCUGACGGAGCAACGCCGCGUGAGUGAUGAAGGUCUUCGGAUCGUAAAACUCUGUUAGUAGGGAAGAACAUAUGUGUAAGUAACUGUGCACAUCUUGACGGUACCUAAUCAGAAAGCCACGGCUAACUACGUG